ensembl:lncRNA
GGGCUGCCAGGCCUGGCGCCCCCACCCCCUCCCGCAGACCUGCCUGGGAGCCCUGCACCUGGGCCCAGCCGGGGCUCACGAGCUCCUAGGCUGACCCGGGGUCCCUGGCUCUCUCUGCAGGAAGGAGCAGGCCCGGCUGGAGGCCGAGGAGCGGAGGAAGGAGAAAGCCCGAUGGGAGCAGCAGCAGCGGGAGCACGAGGAGGCCAUGCGGGACCGGUUCCGGCGCAGCGAGUCCAUCGAGAAGGCUGUGGAGGCGGCCACGCUGGUCUCCCAGCGCUCACAGAACCCCCGGGAGUUCUUCAGGCAGCGGGAACGCUCCAGCUCCACUUCGGGUGCCCAGUCGCCCCCCUCGCCCCUGGGGGUCAGGCCAGGAGCACCCCACAGGCCCUACCUGCGUUACCAGCGCAGCCUGACGGAGUCUGCCUACAUCUUCCGCCGGCCAGAGCCCCCCGCUUCGCCGGGGGACUUCCUCCCGGCCCCCUCCAGCCCUCGCCCCCCUGAGUCCAGCUCCAGCAGGACUGCCCUUCCCGCCAGUCCACGCAGACCCACACCCCUGUCCCCCACCAGCCCGCGUGGGACAGGGCCCCUGCCCCCCAUCAGUCCGCCUGGGGCCAAACCCCGUCCCCCACCAGCCCAUGCCGGACAGGGCCCCUGCCCCCCAUCAGCCUGCCUGGGGCCAAACCCCUGCCCCCCACCAGCCUGCACGGGGCCAAACCCUCGUCCCCAACCAGCCCGCACGGGACAGGGCUCCUGCCCCCAGCUAUUCAUCCCAGGACCAAAGAUUUGUUCCACAUCAGCCCAGAUGGAACCAUGACUCUGCCUCCCAUCAGCCUGGCUGAACCCAGGUCUCCAGCCCCUGCUCACCAUGCCAGAGCUGGGUCUCCACCCCCUGCCAGCCUCCCACCCCCUCCCAGAGCCGGGACUCCACCCCCUGCCAGCCCCCCACCCCUUCCCAGAGCCAGAUCUCCAUCCCCUGCCAGCCCUCCCAGAGCUGGGUCUCCACCCCCUGCCAGCCCCCCACGAGCUGACUCUUCACCUCUUCUCUCUCUACCCCCUGCCCCAGUGUCUCUGAGCCAGCCUCCAGCUACAUUUCUGCUGACGGAGGAGGAUGCCCCUUGCAUAGCUCCCAGAUCACUCCAGGGCCCCUCUGAGAGCUCCCUGCUGGCAGAGCUGGUGCCCUCUGAGGGGCCCCAUGGCAGUGUCCCAGAUGUGCCGAUUGGGGCCCUUGCUGACCCCACUAACUCAUCACUGGCUGGGGGGGAGCCGGCUCAAAGCUGCCCAGUUCUCUCCAGCGCAGAGUCCUGCUCCCUGGAACCUCUGCCUCAGUCCGCACCCCUGUGGCCCUGGCAUCCCGGCCCCUCCACGGCUGCAGCCCCCAGGCCUGGCGAGGACCCCAUGACAGGUGGAGAGGCACCGCUGGAGCCCUCCCACGGGCCCCUCCUGGCGCCAGAGGCCAGCCUGGCCGAGCUCCUCCCGGAGUCAGGACACAACGGCAUAGCAGGGCAGGAGGCCGGGAGGUGGCCGGAGCUCAGGGAGCUGGAGCCGGAGCCGGAGCCGGAGCCAGGAGAGAAGGACGCCCUGAGCGGCAGUGCCAAGGUCCAGCUGCAAGCGGCGUGGGAUCCCCCAGCAGGGGGGACAGCCUGGAUCUCUCUGCAAGGCGGCGCCAGGCAGGCGGCGCUGGAGGGGGGGGAGGCCGUCGAGGGCCCCUCCCCCCACACUGCGUAGACAGCAGGGGCUGCCGGACCCCAGCGUGGGCUCGGCUGUAUGACUGCGACGUGCCGGGGGGCUGCUCAGAUUGCCCCCCCCCGGGCCCUUCUAAGAACCAGCAAUUCCCCCCACACACACUCUGGAGGUGCCUGUGGGCCCAACCCCUGCGCUCUGAACCCCCAGCGCCCCGGUCUCUGCUCGCUGGGUGAGCCCCCAACCCACCAUGUUACCCUGCAACCUGGGCGGUGGCCUCCAAGGCCUAAUAAAGGAGCUGUGGGAACUGGCCGCGAGUCUGGC